AUUCUCAACUUCAACAGUUUGUAAUGAACUGCUGAAGCUUGGAUGUGGAGGUUUUGCUGGCGUCUUAGUAUGUUCGGCUCCUCUUAAAUGCAUUAGUGGAACCCGUUUGUUGGAACUAUCCAUAGUGUGAUAAUUAUCUACGCUUUGGUUGAUUCAAUGAACUCUUUGGACUUCUUUCAGAAUUGCUUAGGCAUUCUGGUGUGGGUAUUGUACUUGUUGCUUUACCUGGUUCAUUAGAGUUGGGACAUCUGCUCUCUAACUGUCUGUGUAUUGCGGACAA
rnacentral:misc_RNA from 1 species